CAUAUUUAUACCCCCGCUUUAAAAAAGGGGGGUAUACUGUUUUACCUCUGUCUGUCAGUCCGUCCGUCAGUCCGUCCAUCAGUCCGUCCGUCCAUCAGUCCGUCCGUCAGUCAGUCCGUCCCAUGAAACUUUCGUCACAUUUUUCUCAGGAACUACACAUCCACCCUUUCUGUAAUUUGGUAUCAACAUUUAUAUAUGUCAGCCAUACCGUGUGAUGCGUUUUCAGAUUCAUCACUUGACAACUUCCUGUUUACCGAACACUUGUCUGAUUUUACACAUGAUAGCCAAGUGAAAAAUUUUCGUCACAUUUUUCUCAGGAACUACAAUACAAGGAUUUCUGAAAUUUGGUUUCAGGAUUUAUAUAAGUCAACUAUACCGUGUGAUGCGUUUUCAGAUUUCAUCACUCGACAACUUCCUGUUUACCGAACACUUGUAUGAUUUUACACAUGAUAACCAAGUUAAAAAUUUUCGUCACAUUUUUCUCAGGAACUACAAUACAAGGAUUUCUGCAAUUUGGUUUCAGGAUUUUUAUAAGUCAGCUAUACCGUGUGAUGCGUUUUCAGAUUCAUCACUCGACAACUUCCUGUUUACCGAACACUUGCAUAUUUUUACACUAUUAAUAUUAUCCACUUGCGGCGGGGG
rnacentral:lncRNA from 1 species